AUGAAUUGCAUCAUGUUAUUCCUAGAAGUCAUGGAUGAUGCAAUCAUAACGAAGCUUACAUCACUCUGCAGAACAAAUUGCCCUAUAUCAGCUCUAGAAAUCAUACAGUGUCGUGCUCUUUUAUUUGUCAGUGUUUGAUUUUGCAAAGGGACACAUUUCUGUUUAGCCAAAGUGAGCAGAGAUGCCUCGUACUUGUGUGAACAGUGCAGAUAACUUCUACUAUGUUUGUGGUGAAGUGACUUUUGCAUCACAAAAGUGCAGUAUAACCACUAUGGUUAAGAAAGCCUAUCACCUUUAUUUUGGCUGCAAAAUUGGAGAUCAGGACAAGAGGUGGGCCCCACACAUAUGCUGCAACACUUGUGCAACAAAUCUUCGCCAGUGGUUGAACAGGAAAAGGAAAUCUAUGCCUUUUGCAGUGCCAAUGAUUUGGAGAGAGCCAACAGAUCAUACCAGCAAUUAUUACUUCUGCAUGGUGCCUCCAGUUGGGAAAGAUGUGUCAAAGAAGAAAAAGUGGACCGUGCAUUAUCCAAACAUUCCAUCAGCUAUACGCCCAGUACCCCAUGGAGAAGGACUGCCGGUUCCUGAUGCACCAGAAUCAUUCUCACUUGAGUCAGAUGAGGAAGAGGAAGAGGAUGAAACUUCUGGUCCUGAACCAUCAAUGUCACAGGACCCACAUUUUCUCCCAUCCUCCUCCUCUGAACCACACCUCAUAACACAAGGUGAACUGAAUGAUCUUGUCAGGGAUUUGGAACUACCCAAGAGUAAGGCAGAGCUGUUGGGCUCCAGACUACAGCAGUGGAAUCUCCUGGCAGGUGAUGUUAGGGUUUCCAUGUUCCGUGACCGUCAAAAGGAUCUUGUCCCAUUCUUCUUCAUAGAAGGUGCUCUUGUAGCCUGCAACAACAUCGAUGGUGUGAUGGCAGCCCUCAACAUCGUUCACAAUCCAGAUGAGUGGAGACUGUUCAUUGAUUCAUCGAAGAUGAGUCUUAAAGCUGUUUUACUGCAUAAUGGCAAUGUUUUGCCAUCAAUUCCAGUUGGUCAGGCAGUCCAUAUGAAGGAAACCUAUGACAACAUGAAACAACUUUUGAGGUGCAUAAACUAUGACCAACAUCAGUGGCAGCUUUGUGGCGAUUUGAAGGUUGUUGCUCUCUUGCUUGGUCUGCAGACUGGAUACACAAAGUACGCUGUUUUCUCUGCGAAUGGGAUAGUCAUGCAAGAGAUUCCCACUACAUCAAGAAAGAUUGGCCACUCCGACAGUCAUUGGAGCCUGGGAGGAAAAGUGUUCAGCAUCCACCACUUGUUGAAUCAAGGAAGAUUUUGUUACCACCCUUACACAUCAAGCUGGGUCUGAUGAAGAAUUUUGUCAAGGCCAUUGACAAAACACAAGCAGCUUUCAAGUACCUCCGUGGAAAAUUUCCAAGGUUAAAUGAAGCUAAAAUAAAGGAAGGUGUCUUUGUUGGUCCCCA
rnacentral:lncRNA from 1 species